UACAGAGGGGGCAAGCGUUGUUCGGAAUUACUGGGCGUAAAGGGCGCGUAGGUGGCCUUCUAAGUUGAACGUGAAAUCCCUGGGCUCAACCCAGGAACUGCGUCCAAGACUGGGAGGCUUGAAUCCGGGAGAGGGAUGCGGAAUUCCAGGUGUAGCGGUGAAAUGCGUAGAUAUCAGAAGGAACAUCAGUGGCGAAGGCGGCUUUCUGGACCAAUACUGACGAUCAGGUGCGAAAGCGUGGGGAGCAAACAGG
rnacentral:rRNA from 1 species